UCCUCAAGAAUCCAAACAAUUCCAAGAUGUCACUCUAAGCGUCCAUCUUGACACGGAACACUCUCCUCAAGAAUCCAGACACACGUGACAGGAAGACUCGAACU